rnacentral:rRNA from 1 species
AACGUAGGACACAAACGUUAUCCGGAGUUACUGGGCGUAAAGGGCGCGUAGGCGGCCGUUUGCGUCGGAUGUGAAAGCCCGGGGCUCAACCUCGGAACGGCAUUCGAUACGGGACGGCUGGAGACCGGGAGAGGAGAGUGGAAUUCCCGGUGUAGCGGUGAAAUGCGCAGAUAUCGGGAGGAACACCCGUAGCGAAGGCGGCACUCUGGGCCGGAACUGACGCUGAGGAGCGAAAGCGUGGGGAGCAAACAGG